GCUCAUUAAAUCAGUUAUCGUUUAUUUGAUAGUACCUUACUACUUGGAUAACCGUGGUAAUUCUAGAGCUAAUACAUGCUAAAAACCCCAACUUCGGGAGGGGUGUAUUUAUUAGAUAAAAAACCAAUGCCCUUCGGGGCUCCUUGGUGAUUCAUGAUAACUUCUCAGAUCGCAUGGCUUUACGCCGGCGACGGUUCAUUCAAAUUUCUGCCCUAUCAACUUUCGAUGGUAAGGUAUUGGCUUACCAUGGUUUCAACGGGUAACGGGGAAUUAGGGUUCGAUUCCGGAGAGGGAGCCUGAGAAACGGCUACCACAUCCAAGGAAGGCAGCAGGCGCGCAAAUUACCCAAUUCCGAUACGGAGAGGUAGUGACAAUAAAUACUGAUACAGGGCUCUUUUGGGUCUUGUAAUUGGAAUGAGUACAAUUUAAACCUCUUAACGAGGAACAAUUGGAGGGCAAGUCUGGUGCCAGCAGCCGCGGUAAUUCCAGCUCCAAUAGCGUAUAUUAAAGUUGUUGCAGUUAAAAAGCUCGUAGUUGAACCUUUGGCCUGGCUGGCAGGUCCGCCUCACCGCGUGCACUUGACCGGCCGGGCCUUUUCUUCUGGAGAACCGCAUGCCCUUCACUGGGUGUGUUGGGGACCAGGACUUUUACUUUGAAAAAAUUAGAGUGUUCAAAGCAGGCCUUUGCUCGAAUACGUUAGCAUGGAAUAAUAGAAUAGGACGUGCGGUCCUAUUUUGUUGGUUUCUAGGACCGCCGUAAUGAUUAAUAGGGACAGUCGGGGGCAUCAGUAUUCAAUUGUCAGAGGUGAAAUUCUUGGAUUUAUUGAAGACUAACUACUGCGAAAGCAUUUGCCAAGGAUGUUUUCAUUAAUCAGUGAACGAAAGUUAGGGGAUCGAAGACGAUCAGAUACCGUCGUAGUCUUAACCAUAAACUAUGCCGACUAGGGAUCGG
rnacentral:rRNA from 4 species